ACCUUGCAAUUUGAGAAACACAUUUUAGAUAUGACUUUUAGAUAUAGCUUCUCCAAGGUUAAAAUUCAUUUUGCACCAUAAUUAUACAUGGUUAAAGAAUGAAGUUUAAUUAAUAGUUUUUGUCCUUUGUACACCAUUCUAUAACCCGCGUUAACUAUUUUGAGUAGUCUUCCCAAGCAUCACACAGAUGAGAAAUCAACUCUAAAGAAAAGUUAUAUUUUGGAUUACUUGGCUAUAUCAAUAGUCGUUGUCAAUAUGUAAAUAGUCUUUGUAAAUUAGAAACUCCUAUUUAGGUUGUUAGUUAUAUUUUAUAUAAUGUCAAAUUUGUAUUAACAUAUAAUCCAUCACGUGAAAAAUAAGUUCUAACAUCAAUUUCUCUGGGUUCAAAUUUUGUAAGGUAUUAUUCAUCAUGGAUUAUGUUUAAGGCAUAUAUUCUCAUACACCAUAACAUAAUAUAAAUCAUAUAUAAUAUAAGUCUCAUUCAAAAUAUAUUCAUGAUAAUACAUCACUUUUUGGAUAUCAUUGCACAUAAGCAACUCUUCUGAUCCCUAAACAUAGAACAUCUUUCAAAACAUAUAGUCUAUGGUUAAACAAAUACAAUCAAUAUUAAAUAACUUUGUCAACUUUAGUUAAUACUUAAUUAUCCACAUCAGAUGUUUGAGACUUUUGUUUUUUCCCUUGAACCUAUUGGUUGAAAGCUAGCAUUCUUCAUCAACAACCGAACCAUACUUCAAACUGUCGGCAAUUCUUUUAGCUGGUAUUUUGUAUUUGAGGCUUUCAACACAGUCUUCCAUAGAAUCCUACACAAAGACAUACAUGACAGUUCACUUAGAAUAAUUUCAGAACCUAAAUCACAUGUUUUUUUAUACAUUCAAAACACUUGCAUAUACUGACCACAGUAAGCUGAGGAUCAUUAUCAUUCUUAAGAUUAACAACAUGUCCGGACAUCUCCAGCGUGUUGCUACCUCUAUUCUCCUAUUUAAAGUGAAACCCUACUCAUAAUUAGAUAUUAAUGUACAUUUUGAUAAAAAAAAAAAAACAAUUGUAUGGUCUGGAAAUCAUAUCUACUUAUUAAAGUGGAAUAGGUAUACACGUAUAAUGAUGUUCAUAGAUGUGCUAACGUCCAUUUGCUUAGGCUUGUUCUUUGCAACUGUUUCUUCAUCAUCACACACUUUCAUGACUGUGUAAAUCUGAUCAUAGUGUUUUAUGUUGCCACUUUUCACAUUGAUUUUGAAAAGAACUAUUCUAUCCAUCAUGUUGUCUAGACUUUUAGGGUAUUCAUCCUCUUUAGCAUCCUGAAACCCCAACCAAUAAUUAGAUGUAUUUUUGUGUAUAUAAUUUAUAAUAUUUUGAAAAACAAAAUUGUAACUUUAAUCCCUAAUAGUAUAAGGAUUUGGUGUGCUAUAUACAUCCUCCUCUACAAUUUUUUCAGCUGCCUUUCCACACAACUGGUUGGUUUCUCUGUCCCACAAUAACAAUGUAAUGCUUCCGGUACCAUCAAAGACCAUGACCUCAACCUUGUAUCUGUUGUUUCACGUGAUAAUAGCGAUAAUAGUUUUAGUACAGGGAUCACAAAUAUCAAGUAAAAUGAAGAUGCUAAUUGUUAAUAAUCACUCAAAUUAAGAACACACACCUGAGUGCUGCACAUCCAUGGGUGUGGCCACACUUUGCACAUUCGUACCUAUUCCCAAUAGGAGUUUCCACCUUUUUUGGACAUCGCCUGCAUGCUUUAUAAAAUCAAUCAUCCUUCCCAGCAUUGAUUGAGACAAUAGUACCUGCAAUCCAGGUUGGCCCCUCCUUGGAAGCAUUACACACAUUAAGACCUUUUACCUAAUAGCUCAUCUGAUUUUUGAAACAGCAAAUAACUUCAUAAUUACAAUAACUUUUACCUCGACAGACUUAAAAACUUCUUCAAUCGUUUUCACAAUAGCUGUGCCAUUGUUGAGCUCAUCAGUCCCAACCCAUGAACUUUGGGUCGACUGAUGGCUAAUCCUCAUUGAAGUUGACUCAGAACCGCUGAGUAGGCUGCAAUUCACGUGUUAAAUGGUUAGACAACAUACUGUUACCAAACCAAAUCUCUGUGUGUUACCAAACCAAAUCUGUAUGUGUUUGAAUUAUUUUCAGUAUGUUUAUAUUUUGGUCUAUCAAGUAAAUAGUAUAUUCGACAUUUUAAUGUUACUUAAAUAUCUAGGCAGCCUUAGUUUAAAGGAAUGUAAACUAAAUCCAAUGCAUAACCACUGAAAAGUUGAAGCUAAAACAUUUUUGUAUUUUUUUCAAAUUUGGAAAGAUAAUUUUGGAUGCUCAAUCAUUUUUUAUAUUUGGUUUGACAAAAUAUCUGUUAUUAGUUAAAGAUAACCUUUUUUAACUGGUUAUCUUAUUUUGGAAGAACUUUUUGGGAACUAAAUAUUCUUUUUCAUUUUGUUCAACAAAAAAAUGUGUUACAUUAUUAGAAAAUUAUAUUUUAAAAGGUAAAUUUGAUAAGCUAGUUGCUUCGAAUAAAAGGCUGCAGAAUCCAAGCUUUUGAUAACCUAUCCUUGAAAACACUGUUAUAUGACCACAAAACAUUCAACUUCUUUUUAAAAUGUACUGACCUUUUUUUGAAUGACAUAACUUCUUUUAGUUCUGGGUUGACAUGGACCUUGGACAGUUCAAAGUGGCUCUGCACUAAAGUUUUGCCAUUCCAUCUGGUUGCUUUAAAAUAUUGGAGGAUCACAAUAAGCGGUUCAAGUUGAUCAUCAUCAAGUGAUCUUGGUAUGGUUGUAUAAAUCCUGCCACCCUGUGACAACGAAGUGAAUACUUAAAGAGUCUCCUACCAGGUUGAGAAGUAGUGGGGAGUUUCAGGUCUCCCGUCAGGAUUGUUUAAUGUCAAAAAGUGGAUAUUUGAAUUAUAUAUAUGACUGGUUUACUUCAUGUGCAUUGCAAUGUCAGAUUUACCCAUUAUAUAUUGCUUAAAUUUUCUACUUACCCUGCAUGCCACUUGUCAUUCAAGAAACUGCUACACGUGUCGAGCAUAGAACCCAUUACUUGUCUCCUAUUAUAUAUUAAUAGAUAGAUUAA